rnacentral:tRNA from 1 species
GGAGAGAUGCCAGAGCGGUCGAAUGGGGCGGUCUCGAAAACCGUUGAUCUCUCACGGGAUCCGAGGGUUCGAAUCCCUCUCUCUCCGCCA